AUUGAACGCUGGCGGCAGGCCUAACACAUGCAAGUCGAGCGAGCGGCGGACGGGUGAGUAAUGUAUGGGGAUCUGCCCGAUAGAGGGGGAUAACUACUGGAAACGGUAGCUAAUACCGCAUACUAUCGGAUGAACCCAGAUGGGAUUAGCUAGUAGGUGGGGUAACGGCUCACCUAGGCGACGAUCUCUAGCUGGUCUGAGAGGAUGACCAGCCACACUGGGACUGAGACACGGUCCAGACUCCUACGGGAGGCAGCAGUGGGGAAUAUUGCACAAUGGGCGCAAGCCUGAUGCAGCCAUGCCGCGUGUAUGAAGAAGGCCUUAGGGUUGUAAAGUACUUUCAGCGGGGAGGCGUUACCCGCAGAAGAAGCACCGGCUAACUCCGUGCCAGCAGCCGCGGUAAUUC
rnacentral:rRNA from 1 species